AAAAAAUUCCCUCCAUUAUUUCAUUGAGCGAAAGUUUCCCCCUAUUUUCAAAGGCAAAAGAAAUUAAUACUUUCUCAAAUUUUCAUUCAACCCCUCUACUUAGUAUUGACCCAUAAAUCUCCAUCUAGCCACCACCACGCCGCUGGUUCCACUCCUACCAAAUCUAGCACCGACUGGAAUUUUCUUCUCCAUUGACCCAAUACCUACAUCUAAGAAAGAGAAAUUUCAGCAUUCAAAAGGGAAGUGCCAGACAACUGUUUCAGCGUUUGCAGGGGCCAAUGGAAGAGGAUACGCUCAAAUCUCAUUUUGAGAAGAUCAUCUUGAUUGGGAAGAAAUAUCUUUUACGGAGGAUUUAGGAAGAAGUUGGCAAGGAUGACUGUGUUAGAGACAAAGCUAUGGAUGUUGAUUCUGCUACAGGUGCAUCCAACUAGGGAAAGACAAAUCAAGCUUGGGUUUCAGGUGCAUUUCAAGGCAGCCUCCAGGAACUGGUCAGAUUUGAUACAGUGAGAGUCAUCUUUCUCUGCAGGUUUGCGUGACUGCUGUAGUUGUGCGAAAGCAGGCAAGUCAUUCAAUUAUUUUUACCACCUCCAUUCCAGCAGGAAAGCAAAGACUUUAUGAUACUGUAUUUGAUGUUGACCAUGACAAAGAGAGAGCACAACAGUGUGGUCUUGAACUAAAUGGAUUCAGCUUUGAUGGAGCUGAUGCUGUCGGAGUUGAUUAUGCUCUGAAUGGGGAAGUAUAUUUUCUUUUUUCAUUUAAGGUCUUUUAGUCUUUGCAUUUUUAGCUAUGUUGCUCCGACAUGGCAAUUCAUGUAUUGCAUGGUUACUCAUUAUUCAUUUUUUUUAUGUGACUGAAAAAUAUAUAAAACAUGGUGCUACUAUAUGUUAUCCUAGUAUUUGUUCUUCUUGACAAAAGAUCAAAGUUUAAUUUCUAUCUAAGUAUAAUUUUUUUUAUGUGUAGGAUAAUAUGGGUGAUGCUACUGGAAAUGGUGGCGGAAUGUCAAUUUGAUCUUAAUGUGAAUGCGAAGAAUUAUUGGAUAAUUAGGAUGUCUAAUAUUCAUGAUACUAUAUGAAUAUACUCACUUUUGUAAAGUUUAUUGUUAAUGGGCAUUUUGAUUCAUUGUUUUGUUAGUA